GACGUAGGGCGCGAGCGUUGUCCGGAUUUAUUGGGCGUAAAGAGCUCGUAGGCGGCUUGUCGCGUCGUCCGUGAAAACCUGGGGCUCAACCCCAGGCUUGCGGUCGAUACGGGCAGGCUAGAGUUCGGUAGGGGAGACUGGAAUUCCUGGUGUAGCGGUGAAAUGCGCAGAUAUCAGGAGGAACACCGGUGGCGAAGGCGGGUCUCUGGGCCGAUACUGACGCUGAGGAGCGAAAGCCAGGGGAGCAAACGGG
rnacentral:rRNA from 1 species